rnacentral:rRNA from 1 species
GACGAACCGUCCUAACGUUGUUCGGAAUCACUGGGCUUAAAGGGCGCGUAGGCGGCCCUGCAAGUCGGGGGUGAAAUCCCACGGCCCAACCGUGGAAGUGCCUCCGAUACUGCGGGGCUCGAGCGAGGUAGGGGCAGGGGGAACUUCCGGUGGAGCGGUGAAAUGCGCAGAUAUCAGGAGGAACACCGGUGGCGAAGGCGGAUCUCUGGGCCUUACCUGACGCUCAGGCGCGAAAGCUAGGGGAGCGAACAGG